UACCUCUUCAAAGGACCAAAA
rnacentral:piRNA from 1 species